rnacentral:rRNA from 1 species
AGCGAACGCUGGCGGCAGGCCUAACACAUGCAAGUCGAACGAACCUUUCGGGGUUAGUGGCGGACGGGUGAGUAACACGUGGGAACGUGCCUUUAGGUUCGGAAUAACUCAGGGAAACUUGUGCUAAUACCGAAUGUGCCCUUCGGGGGAAAGAUUAAUCGCCUUUAGAGCGGCCCGCGUCUGAUUAGCUAGUUGGUUGAGGUAAUGGCUCACCAAGGCGACGAUCAGUAGCUGGUCUGAGAGGAUGAUCAGCCACAUUGGGACCGAGACACGGCCCAAACUCCUACGGGAGGCAGCAGUGGGGAAUCUUGCGCAAUGGGCGAAAGCCUGACGCAGCCAUGCCGCGUGAAUGAUGAAGGUCUUAGGAUUGUAAAAUUCUUUCACCGGGGACGAUAAUGACGGUACCCGGAGAAGAAGCCCCGGCUAACUUCGUG